UGGGGAAUUUUGCACAAUGGGGGAAACCCUGAUGCAGCGACGCCGCGUGAUUUAGAAGGCCUUCGGGUUGUAAAAAUCUUUUCUAUGGGAAGAAAAUGACAGUACCAUAGGAAUAAGGACCGGCUAAUUACGUGCCAGCAGCCGCGGUAAUACGUAAGGUCCGAGCGUUGUCCGGAAUCAUUGGGCGUAAAGGGUACGUAGGCGGGUAAGCAAGUUAGAAGUGAAAUCCUAUAGCUCAACUAUAGUAAGCUUUUAAAACUGCUCAUCUUGAGGUAUGGAAGGGAAAGCGGAAUUCCUAGUGUAGCGGUGAACUGCGCAGAUAUUAGGAGGAAUACCGGUGGCGAAGGCGACUUUCUGGCCAUAACCUGACGCUGAGGUACGAACGCGUGGGUAGCAAACAGG
rnacentral:rRNA from 1 species